AAUUCUGAAUUUUUUAUUUUGGGUUUGUCAAGGGAUAUGCGUUGAUCGAAUACGAGAACUUUGAGGAAGCGGAGAAAGCAAUAUCUGCCAUGGAUGGGUCUGAACUUCUGACCCAAAUUAUCAAUGUUGAUUGGGCAUUCAGCCAUGGACCCAUCAGGAGGAAGAACACAAGGCCUACUAGGGAACGACGCUCAAGGAGUCCUAGGAGGAGAUAUUAGUCUUGAGGUGAAGAACUUCAUGUGUGGUGUUUAUGGAUUUUAAUUGGAAAUGAGUUUUUGUUGUGGAAUGGAUUAGAAAGAUGUUUCUACUGAGCUCUCUACUCGUUGUCUCGAGAUUUCCCCUGGUUUCCAGCCUUUCUUUCUCGGACGUUGUUUUGGGUUGAUUUAUGUAACUUAGAAGAUUUGAGGUUCAUGAUUCUCUCUUUUUUUCUUCUUUUGAGUACUUGAGGUUUAUGCCUUAAUUGUGUUGAAUAUCUGCUAUAUUAUAUAAUAUUUUUUGUUCCAAAUUUGUCUAUUAA